AUUGAACGCUGGCGGCAGGCUUAACAAAUGCAAGUCGACCGAGUGGCGGACGGGUGAGUAAUGCUUGGAAAUCUAGCUUAUGGAGGGGGAUAACUACGGGAAACUGUAGCUAAUACCGCAUACCAUAUGAUGAGACCAAGUGGGAUUAGGGAGUGGGUUAGGAAAAGGCUCACCAAGUCGACGAUCUCGAGCUGGUCAGAGAGGAUGACCAGCCACACUGGGACUGAGAUACGGCCCAGACUCCUACGGGAGGCAGCCGUGGGGAAUAUUGGGCAAUGGGGGCAACCUGAUGCAGCCAUGCCGCGUGAAUGAAGAAGGCCUUCGGGUUGUAAAGUUCUUUCGGUAGCGAGGCGUUAACGACAGAAGAAGCACCGGCUAACUCCGUGCCAGCAGCCGCGGUAAUAC
rnacentral:rRNA from 1 species